GCUGGGUGAGUCAACAGAGUCCUCUGCAUGAUGCCUUGAGUAGCUGCUGUGAAGAACCACAGGAGGACCCUGAGGAGCUGGACACUGGGUCCAGGGUCUGUGCUGUGUCUCUGGGUGUUUGUAGAUAGAGCAGCUUCCUGGUCAUGAUCCAGAGGACAGAAUGAAGGGAACCACAGGACGUACUGGUGUGUCCUCGUCAUGUAAGGGUGGAGAGUGGAGGCUGAGCUGCUCAAGAGUUCAGGCAAGUGAAGGUCAGUUGUUACAAACUGCUUAGGGAGACAAGCUGACAGGAAGAUAAAGGGAGAACAUUCCAGGAGCCAAAAGAUGGAGGCCUUCAUCCAUUCUGAGAACAGCAGCACAGCAGCACGUUCUGGUAGAGGGGCUGAAGCUUUGCAGCUAGACCUUUAUUUGUUGAAGUGCUGCUUUAUGGUGCUCCUCAGAAGUACAUCAAUUCUAUUAGACAGAUCGGUGUGUAAGACCCUUUCAUCUGAAACAAAAUUGAGCCUACUGCUUCUUUAUAUGUAUACACAAGCUAUCCAUAGCUGUCUGAAGAUAUCAAGUGGAGUUACAGUCCAAAUGUAAAACAUUCUCUAUUCUGUAUUUGCGUUCACGUAAAAUAUAAGAAAAGUGCCUAUUUACAUGUUACCAUUUUAGUUUUCACUUCAAGAUGUUUUCCGAAAACCAUAAAUUAGCUUUUUCCUGGUCAAAAAGGCAUUUAAAUGCAGGUGUUUAUUGCUUUUCUUGCUGUAAAUAAAUAAACAAAUAAAUAACAUGCAAAACCAAGUUCUAAAUGAAAACAACAUUAAAAUAGUACUGAAGCAUUUGUUCCCUGAAAGAAAAUGGUAAUAGAUUUCUGCCCUUGUUGUUCAUAAGUACUGAACAUUUUAUAUAGACUUACAAGGAAAUAAAACCAAAUGCUGGAACUUUUGAACAGUGAAAAAGAAAAAGCUCAAAAAUACAUGCAAAUAGGCUCAGUUGCUGAAACUUCUGGUGCAUGAUGUCAGAUUAUUCUGUUGUACAACUUAUUUCUAUGAAUUCUUUUGGACACAGUAAGAAGAACUACUGUUUUUAAUUUUACAUAUUGAAAUGAUUGUUUCCGUAGAGAAAAAUUGCAGACCCUCUUUAGGUAGUGUAGUGGGUUGGCAAGGUUUUUGUAGCAGGGGGGUCUACAGG